rnacentral:rRNA from 1 species
CAGGCUUAACACAUGCAAGUCGAGGGGCAUCAGGAAGAAAGCUUGCUUUCUUUGCUGGCGACCGGCGCACGGGUGAGUAACACGUAUCCAACCUGCCCUUUACUCGGGGAUAGCCUUUCGAAAGAAAGAUUAAUACCCGAUAGCAUAAUGAUUCCGCAUGGUUUCAUUAUUAAAGGAUUCCGGUAAAGGAUGGGGAUGCGUUCCAUUAGGUUGUUGGUGAGGUAACGGCCCACCAAGCCUUCGAUGGAUAGGGGUUCUGAGAGGAAGGUCCCCCACAUUGGAACUGAGACACGGUCCAAACUCCUACGGGAGGCAGCAGUGAGGAAUAUUGGUCAAUGGGCGCUAGCCUGAACCAGCCAAGUAGCGUGAAGGAUGAAGGCUCUAUGGGUCGUAAACUUCUUUUAUAUAAGAAUAAAGUGCAGUAUGUAUACUGUUUUGUAUGUAUUAUAUGAAUAAGGAUCGGCUAACUCCGUGCCAGCAGCCGCGGUAAUACGGAGGAUCCGAGCGUUAUCCGGAUUUAUUGGGUUUAAAGGGAGCGUAGGUGGACUGGUAAGUCAGUUGUGAAAGUUUGCGGCUCAACCGUAAAAUUGCAGUUGAUACUGUCAGUCUUGAGUACAGUAGAGGUGGGCGGAAUUCGUGGUGUAGCGGUGAAAUGCUUAGAUAUCACGAAGAACUCCGAUUGCGAAGGCAGCUCACUGGACUGCAACUGACACUGAUGCUCGAAAGUGUGGGUAUCAAACAGGAUUAGAUACCCUGGUAGUCCACACAGUAAACGAUGAAUACUCGCUGUUUGCGAUAUACAGUAAGCGGCCAAGCGAAAGCAUUAAGUAUUCCACCUGGGGAGUACGCCGGCAACGGUGAAACUCAAAGGAAUUGACGGGGGCCCGCACAAGCGGAGGAACAUGUGGUUUAAUUCGAUGAUACGCGAGGAACCUUACCCGGGCUUAAAUUGCAGUGGAAUGAUGUGGAAACAUGUCAGUGAGCAAUCACCGCUGUGAAGGUGCUGCAUGGUUGUCGUCAGCUCGUGCCGUGAGGUGUCGGCUUAAGUGCCAUAACGAGCGCAACCCUUAUCUUUAGUUACUAACAGGUUAUGCUGAGGACUCUAGAGAGACUGCCGUCGUAAGAUGUGAGGAAGGUGGGGAUGACGUCAAAUCAGCACGGCCCUUACGUCCGGGGCUACACACGUGUUACAAUGGGGGGUACAGAAGGCAGCUAGCGGGUGACCGUAUGCUAAUCCCAAAAUCCUCUCUCAGUUCGGAUCGAAGUCUGCAACCCGACUUCGUGAAGCUGGAUUCGCUAGUAAUCGCGCAUCAGCCACGGCGCGGUGAAUACGUUCCCGGGCCUUGUACACACCGCCCGUCAAGCCAUGGGAGCCGGGGGUACCUGAAGUACGUAACCGCAAGGAUCGUCCUAGGGUAAAACUGGUGACUGGGGCUAAGUCAUA